CCAUUGCUUCCUUCUUCUUCGAAUGUUUUUGGAUUUCAUUUUCUGCUGCUUAAGCUUUAGUGCGAUUUAGAAGAUUUCUAGUUUUCACUUCUAUUGCAGAGAGAACAAGUGUCGAAGGUAAACUAAGCAUCGUUGAACCUUUUUGCUGUUUGUGUGUGAAAUUGGCGCCUGUGAGAGCCGAACAAGCAAUUAAGCGCAAAAUCGAAGGCGCGACUCUAGUUAUUUUUGAUAUCAAGAGCUUUCAAAAUCUUAAACUGAGUGAUGCUUCGAUUGGUUCAGACACGUCUUCUUCUGGAGACAGGUACUCCAAGAACUCCUUUUUUCUUCUCUUGUUUCUUACGAGUCUUUUCUAGUGUCAGUGAUGGGAAUGUCUCUUAUAGAGAGAGAUUGAGAAAUGGGAUUGCUAAUAUUAAGGAGGAGGAUGCUGUUGAUCUCUUCCAAUCCAUGCUUAGGUCUCGUCCUCUUCCCACAGUCGUUGAUUUCAAUAAAUUGUUUAGUGGUGUUGCCAGAACUAAGCAGUAUGAUCUCGUGUUAGCUCUCUCCAAGCAAAUGGAGUUGAAUGGGAUUGCAAAUGACUUGUAUAGUUUGAGUAUUGUCAUCAAUUGUUUCUGCAGACGCCGAGAACUCGGUUUUGCUUUUUCUGUUUUGGGAAAGAUCUUAAAACUUGGGUAUGAGCCUAACAUUAUCACAUUUUCAACUUUGAUUAACGGAUUAUGUCUCGAGGGCCGAGUUUCUGAAACGGUGGGAUUAGUUGAUCGAAUGGUAGAAAUGGGACACACACCCGAUCUCAUAACGAUUAACACUGUGGUCAAUGGACUCUGUCUCAAAGGUAAAGUGUUUGAAGCUGUUGCUUUAAUUGAUCGAAUGGUGGAAUAUGGCUGUCAACCCAGUGAAGUUACCUAUGGGCCAGUUUUAAAUGUAAUGUGCAAGUCCGGUAAAACUGCCUUGGCCAUUGAGUUGCUCAGAAAGAUGGAAGAAAGUAAUGUCAAGCUCGAUGCAGUCAAAUACAAUAUCCUCAUUGGUGCUCUUUGCAAAGAGGGGAGCCUCGACGAUGCAUUCAACCUUUUCAAUGAAAUGGAAAUGAAAGGGAUCAAAUCAAAUAUUACUACAUACAACACUCUCGUUAGAGGCUUUUGUAAUGCUGGUAGAUGGGAUGAUGGUGCUCAGUUACUGAGGGAUAUGAUCACUAGGAGAAUCUCCCCCGACGUCAUCACAUUCAAUGCAUUGAUAAAUGGUUUUGUGAAAGAGGGAAAACUUCUAGAGGCAGAAGAACUGCACAAGGAGAUGAUCACAAGAGGUAUAGCUCCUAAUACUGUUACAUACAAUAUUUUAAUAGAUGGGUUUUCCAAGGAGAACCGCCUUGAGGAAGCAAACCAGAUGUUGGGUCUGAUGGUUAGCCAAGGGUGUGAUCCUAAUAUCGUGACCUAUGGUAGUCUCAUAAACGGAUAUUGUAAGGCUAAGCGGGUCGACGAUGGUUUGGAACUCUUCCGCAAAAUGAGUUUGAGCGGAGUGGUUGCCAAUACAGUCUCUUAUAACAGUCUUAUCCGAGGGUUUUGUCAAUCGGGAAAGCUUGUGGUUGCCAAAGAACUCUUCCAGGAGAUGGUUUCUCGUGGUGUUCUUCCUAAUAUUGUGACUUACAAAUUUUUGCUGAAUGGGUUGUGUGACAAUGGGGAGCUAGAAAAAGCACUGGAAAUAUUUGAAAAAAUGCAAAAGAGUAAGAUGGAGCUUAAUAUUUGUAUCUAUAAUAUCAUCAUUCACGCUAUGUGCAAGGAUAAUAAGGUGGAUGAUGCUUGGGAUUUAUUCGACAGCCUCCAUGGCAAAGGAGUGAAGCUUGAGGUUAUGGCAUACAACAUAAUGAUUUCUGGAUUAUGUAGAAGCGGCUCACUAUAUAAAGCGAAUAUGUUGCUUAGGAAAAUGGCAGAGGAUGGUUGUACACCAAAUGAUCGUACAUACAACACCCUAAUCCGGGCACAUCUCCGAGGUAUUGACAUAAUGACUUCAGCUCAACUCAUCGAAGAAAUGAAGAGGUGCGGGUUCGCUGCUGAUGCAUCCACUAUAAAGAUGGUUAUGGAUAUGUUAUCGGAUGGUAGAUUGGAGAAAAGCUUUCUGGAUAUGCUUUCUUGAGUGCCAAAGAAAAGGUCAUGGUUGGAUCUGUUUCCUCUAAACCCAGAACAGAAGAACAUGUUUCAGAUCCAAACAAGGACAAUCCAUUAGCUUAUCCGCUCCCUUAUUCUGGCAAUGAAGUUUGAUACAAGAAACAGAGGAUGGUGAUGUCCCACAAUAGUUCAGAGGUUUUAUAUCUAUCAAUGAAGAAUGCCCCGAAGCUAGUAUCAUCAUCAUCAUCGAAGCAGCUUUCAGAAGUCGAUAGUCAGAGACUGAUCAGUGAUUUAUUUUUUUCUGGUUCGUAGCAACAAAAGAAAAACGUGUAUAAUUAGUAAGUAGGGCAAAUAUUGUAAUACACGGAAUAUACUUUAUAUAAUUUGCCUAUAAUCGUAUAAAAGUUUUCACAAGUUCUCAA